rnacentral:snoRNA from 1 species
AAGACCUUACUUUAUAAGAUCAUUUCUAUAGUAAGUUUUUCACGAGACCCGACGUAAGUGGGAUACGGCUAGGUAGAUGAUGCUUUUAAGUAGA